ACCCCGUUUCUCUCUCUAUCUCAUCGAAAAAGCCCUUGAGAUGUCUGAGACCUCCCCCUUCUUCUUUUCUAGAUCCAGAAAGAACAUCUCUUAUCCUCCCUCUUCUUUUUCAGAUCGACGAAGCGCAUCUUCCUCUCUCUCGUUGUGUAUUCCCUUUUUUCGUUUUACAUCCUUAAGCCUUCAGGGUGUGUGGAUGCUUGUAUGAGAUCCGGAUUGAGACGCUAUGGAGAUAAGAGACAAGUGAAACCAUGGAAGAUGGGCCUCCUUCAUCUUUCGCAGCCUCCAGAUUGCUACCCUACAUUGAAGGCAGGCCUGAUCCUCUAUUCCCAGUGUCUCAUAAGAAGAGGCUAGGGAUUCUGAGGAGCAAUGAACAUCGCCCCUUGUUCUGUUCUCAAUGCAGGUUUCGAGUAUCGGCUGAAGUUGGUUAAAGUUUAGGGUAGAAGCUUGCAACUUAGUCAUGAGCCAAACUUGGCCUGAUUGCAUACUUAUUUAAGCUCACAUUGAAAUUCUCACCAACUUGUAUCAACAUUUUAAGUUCAUGCAUAUACACUAUAUGCAUGCUUUAAUAUACCCCAAUUAGUCUUGGCCUCUUGGGAACUC